rnacentral:tRNA from 1 species
UCCCUGGCGGUGAAGUGGUUAAGACUUUGUGCUUCCAAUGCAAGGGAUACAGGUUCAACCCCUGGUCAGGGAA